rnacentral:rRNA from 1 species
UGGAAGCGUCUGGAAAGGCGCGCGAUACAGGGUGACAGCCCCGUACACAAAAAUGCACAUGCUGUGAGCUCGAUGAGUAGGGCGGGACACGUGGUAUCCUGUCUGAAUAUGGGGGGACCAUCCUCCAAGGCUAAAUACUCCUGACUGACCGAUAGUGAACCAGUACCGUGAGGGAAAGGCGAAAAGAACCCCGGCGAGGGGAGUGAAAAAGAACCUGAAACCGUGUACGUACAAGCAGUGGGAGCACGCUUAGGCGUGUGACUGCGUACCUUUUGUAUAAUGGGUCAGCGACUUAUAUUCUGUAGCAAGGUUAACCGAAUAGGGGAGCCGAAGGGAAACCGAGUCUUAACUGGGCGUUAAGUUGCAGGGUAUAGACCCGAAACCCGGUGAUCUAGCCAUGGGCAGGUUGAAGGUUGGGUAACACUAACUGGAGGACCGAACCGACUAAUGUUGAAAAAUUAGCGGAUGACUUGUGGCUGGGGGUGAAAGGCCAAUCAAACCGGGAGAUAGCUGGUUCUCCCCGAAAGCUAUUUAGGUAGCGCCUCGUGAAUUCAUCUCCGGGGGUAGAGCACUGUUUCGGCAAGGGGGUCAUCCCGACUUACCAACCCGAUGCAAACUGCGAAUACCGGAGAAUGUUAUCACGGGAGACACACGGCGGGUGCUAACGUCCGUCGUGAAGAGGGAAACAACCCAGACCGCCAGCUAAGGUCCCAAAGUCAUGGUUAAGUGGGAAACGAUGUGGGAAGGCCCAGACAGCCAGGAUGUUGGCUUAGAAGCAGCCAUCAUUUAAAGAAAGCGUAAUAGCUCACUGGUCGAGUCGGCCUGCGCGGAAGAUGUAACGGGGCUAAACCAUGCACCGAAGCUGCGGCAGCGACGCUGAUGCGUUGUUGGGUAGGGGAGCGUUCUGUAAGCCUGUGAAGGUGUGCUGUGAGGUAUGCUGGAGGUAUCAGAAGUGCGAAUGCUGACAUAAGUAACGAUAAAGCGGGUGAAAAGCCCGCUCGCCGGAAGACCAAGGGUUCCUGUCCAACGUUAAUCGGGGCAGGGUGAGUCGACCCCUAAGGCGAGGCCGAAAGGCGUAGUCGAUGGGAAACAGGUUAAUAUUCCUGUACUUGGUGUUACUGCGAAGGGGGGACGGAGAAGGCUAUGUUGGCCGGGCGACGGUUGUCCCGGUUUAAGCGUGUAGGCUGGUUUUCCAGGCAAAUCCGGAAAAUCAAGGCUGAGGCGUGAUGACGAGGCACUACGGUGCUGAAGCAACAAAUGCCCUGCUUCCAGGAAAAGCCUCUAAGCAUCAGGUAACAUCAAAUCGUACCCCAAACCGACACAGGUGGUCAGGUAGAGAAUACCAAGGCGCUUGAGAGAACUCGGGUGAAGGAACUAGGCAAAAUGGUGCCGUAACUUCGGGAGAAGGCACGCUGAUAUGUAGGUGAAGUCCCUCGCGGAUGGAGCUGAAAUCAGUCGAAGAUACCAGCUGGCUGCAACUGUUUAUUAAAAACACAGCACUGUGCAAACACGAAAGUGGACGUAUACGGUGUGACGCCUGCCCGGUGCCGGAAGGUUA